rnacentral:lncRNA from 1 species
UUUUUCAGUUCUUUAAGCGCUUUUGAAAAGUGCUUUUUAAUUAAGCUUUUUUUUUCUCUUUGCAGGUUACAGGAAUGAAGUGACCCCUAUUGAAGGGUGAAGUCUGCGCCAACCCUAUUGAGGAUGGGGUUGGAUUUUAAGGCGCUUUGGCCUAGACGACGGUCUUGGGCGCUGGCUUUUGAGAGUUCUAUUUCCAAACUGCUGGAUUUUCAGCAGCUUUUAAUUUUUCAAUUUUAGUCAUCAAGAUGUAACUUUGGACCCUUUGGAUAAUUGUAUUA